rnacentral:rRNA from 1 species
CAAUAGCGUAUAUUAAAGUUGUUGCAGUUAAAAAGCUCGUAGUUGGAUUUCUGAGAGGAUGCCAAUGUCCUUCUGUGUAAGUGUGCAGCGGCGUCUUUUCAUCCUUCUGUUAACACCUCUUGGCAUUCGUUUGCUGGUGGUGGGCUCAGAUAUUUUACCUUGAGAAAAUUAGAGUGUUUCAGGCAGGCUAGGCCGGAAUACAUUAGCAUGGAAUAAUGGAAUAGGACUACGGUCUCUUUGUUGGUUUGAGGGACUGCAGUAAUGAUUAAUAGGGAUAGUUGGGGGCAUUAGUAUUUAAUUGUCAGAGGUGGAAUUCUCGGAUUUGUUAAAGACUAACUUAUGCGAAAGCAUUUGCCAAGGAUGUUUNCAUUAA